rnacentral:rRNA from 1 species
AUUGAACGCUGGCGGCAUGCUUUACACAUGCAAGUCGAACGGCAGCGCGGGGCGACCUGGCGGCGAGUGGCGAACGGGUGAGUAAUAUAUCGGAACGUACCCAGAAGUGGGGGAUAACGUAGCGAAAGUUACGCUAAUACCGCAUACGAUCUACGGAUGAAAGUGGGGGACCUUCGGGCCUCAUGCUUGUGGAGCGGCCGAUAUCUGAUUAGCUAGUUGGUAGGGUAAAGGCCUACCAAGGCGACGAUCAGUAGCUGGUCUGAGAGGACGACCAGCCACACUGGGACUGAGACACGGCCCAGACUCCUACGGGAGGCAGCAGUGGGGAAUUUUGGACAAUGGGCGCAAGCCUGAUCCAGCAAUGCCGCGUGAGUGAAGAAGGCCUUCGGGUUGUAAAGCUCUUUUGUCAGGGAAGAAACGGGACUGGAUAAUACCUGGUCCUAAUGACGGUACCUGAAGAAUAAGCACCGGCUAACUACGUGCCAGCCGCCGCAGUAA